rnacentral:rRNA from 1 species
GACAGAGGGUGCAAACGUUGUUCGGAAUUACUGGGCGUAAAGCGCGUGUAGGCGGCUCGGCAAGUCGGGUGUGAAAGCCCUGGGCUUAACCUAGGAAGUGCACUCGAAACUGCCAAGCUUGAGUUCUGGAGAGGAAGGCGGAAUUCUCGGUGUAGAGGUGAAAUUCGUAGAUAUCGAGAGGAACACCGGAUGGCGAAGGGCGGCCUUA